rnacentral:tRNA from 1 species
UCCCUCACAGCUCAGUUGGCAAAUCAUCUGCCUGCAAUGCAGGAGACCCAGGUUCGAUUCCUGGGUAGGGAA